rnacentral:rRNA from 1 species
CAGUAGCCGCGGGAAUACGUAGGUGGCAAGCGUUGUCCGGAAUUAUUGGGCGUAAAGGGCUCGCAGGCGGUUUCUUAAGUCUGAUGUGAAAGCCCCCGGCUCAACCGGGGAGGGUCAUUGGAAACUGGGAAACUUGAGUGCAGAAGAGGAGAGUGGAAUUCCACGUGUAGCGGUGAGAUGCGUAGAGAUGUGGAGGAACACCCAUGGCGAAAGCACCCUUCUGGACGCAAACUGACGCUCAGGUUCGAAAGCCAAGGUAGCGAACAGGAUUAGAUACCCCAGUAGUCCCUGUCUCUUAUAC